UCAUUACACGAUAAUAUAAUUAUAUUUAGGCAACGAAAACCGGUAUACAUUUUAUUACAUUUUUGUAGUAUUAUAUAAGAGCGUGGCGGUCGGUGGCGGCGGCUCGUCGAAUGGUCUCCAUUGCUGACAUACACGGCGGCGAGCGGUCGCGAUAGUGAAUGUGCUGACGCCGCCCAAACAGUGUGCGCACACGAUGAACACCAUCCGUUCGUGUUUCGCCACCAUAGUCGCGUUUCUCGUCAUCGCGAUCGGCUGGUGGGCCACCGACGCUGUGGUCUGUUGCAACAGUAGUUCGGUCGCGACUGUCGGCGGAGACGUCGUCGCGUCAUGCCAGAACAAAAAUCGGACGUUCCACACGAUCGAGGCGAUCGGCGGUGUGACGUGCGAUGACGACCGGACGGCUGUGCCGGUCCGGAAGUGCUGUCCGCUGGGCCAGUCGUACAAUCCGAAAGAACGGUUCUGCCGACCAGGCAGGGCGGACGGUGACGAGCACCUGCAGCGGAUGGUGCAACUACUGAGGGACGAAUUCCGGGCGGUGGCCGAUGCGGUGAUGGUGGGUUACGACUAUGAGCAGCCACUGUGCGACGCAGCGGACGUGCUAGUCGACGUGCUCACCGUGGAGGUGAGUAGGCUGAUGGAUACGUACUCGUCAGUCCUCGAGUUGCCGCCGGGCUACUGCUUCGACCUGACGCCAUCCGAUGAGCUGGUGGCCCGGACGUGCCAGCCACGCGACCAGAUCUGCGGCCAGGAAAAUUACACGUGCGUCCACAAGUGCUGCAAGGGCGACCGGAUGAUAGUCGACGACCCCAAUGGUCCGCAGUGCAAGCAGAGCAUGAAGCCGUUUAAGAUGUACGCCUACGACCACUAUAGAUUCGAGGGCCCCAGCUCUAAUAGCCAUGGAGUGUCCCUCUCGGAUAACACGGUGCUGCCGUACUAUGUAGAAUUCAAUUGCUCACACGGGGACAAAGUGAACUUCGAGUUCGUGUUGACCGUGAAUGGCAGCCUUUACCUUUUUGACGAAGACCUGUACGUACCGGACACGGAAUACUGCGUGGAGUAUUCACCGGUGGCCAAGGGCAAUGUGGUGUUCAUAUGCGACGUUAACGCCGUAUUUAAGAUCCCACGUGUGCGUGACAGCUCGAUUCCCUUAUUCCAUCGGGCGAGUUACGUGGCGUCUGCCGUGUGUCUGGCGCUCACUCUGCUCGUGUACAACAUACUGCCCAGCCUCCGGAAUAUCCGCAACUACUACGUCAAGUGCUACAUCGGCCACCAGUUCGUGUCGUACGUCUGCGUAAUUGCCCAAAUUAGUAUGGAAAACGAAAAAGGCCGAAUGUGCGUUAUAUUCGGUUAUAUUAGUUUAUUUGUAUUUCUUUCAACAUUAUGCUGGUCAAACGUAAUAUGCUUCGAUAUUUACUGGAUGAUAAGGUACAACAUUUCAAUAAACAGAAAUACAUCAACAUCAGUACGUACCAUCAUGUACUAUUUUUACAGUUGGGGACUUCCAAGUAUUUUCGUAUGUUCUGGUUUUUUUUUUGAAUAUUCACAAAAAAAAUUUCUACAUGAAUUAGUACCCAAUUUUGAAGCAUAUGGUUGCUUUUACUACAAUUUGAAUAUUGUAAAUUUUGGCUCGGUGUAUAGAUAUGUCUGGCUUGGGAAGUGUAGUUUUCAUCAUGUUACCAGUGUUUGUUAUACUGACUGUCAAUUUAGUUUUGUUCAGGGUAACUUCUAAUCAUUCUUCAAGAAUUAAAUCUGAACUGAAUGAAUUAAAUCGAACAGACUCAAAUACAGAAAAUGUUCUUCUUCACAAAGAGAAAUUUGUAAUGAGCUUCAAACUAUUUCUGAUUAUGGGAAUUCCAUAUUUUUUUACGUUACUAUCUAUUAUAUUACAAAUUGAAGGAGCAAUACGGUACAUUCUUUAUGCAGCUAGCAGUCUACAAGGUGUAUUUAUA
rnacentral:misc_RNA from 1 species